CCUACGGGUGGCUGCAGUGAGGAAUAUUGGUCAAUGGACGAGAGUCUGAACCAGCCAAGUAGCGUGAAGGAUGACUGCCCUAUGGGUUGUAAACUUCUUUUAUAUGGGAAUAAAACGUUCCACGUGUGGGAUUUUGUAUGUACCAUAUGAAUAAGGAUCGGCUAACUCCGUGCCAGCAGCCGCGGUAAUACGGAGGAUCCGAGCGUUAUCAGGAUUUAUUGGGUGUAAAGGGAGCGUAGGUGGAUUGUUAAGUCAGUUGUGAAAGUUUGCGGCUCAACCGUAAAAUUGCAGUUGAAACUGGCAGUCUUGAGUACAGUAGAGGUAGGCGGAAUUCGUGGUGUAGCGGUGAAAUGCUUAGAUAUCACGAAGAACUCCGAUUGCGAAGGCAGUUCACUGGACUGCAACUGACACUGAGGCUCGAAAGUGUGGGUAUCAAACAGGAUUAGAUACCCGAGUAGUC
rnacentral:rRNA from 1 species